GAAAUUCUUCUCAAUGAAAUCAAAGAAGCUGUACAUGGAAAAGGAUGAAGCAACAUGGAUGAGUCCUACGCACAGUGCUCAGGGAAAAAAAUAAUGCAUUCAACAGAUCUUAUGUAAAC